rnacentral:lncRNA from 1 species
CUCUGCCUACUUGUGAUCUCUGUCAAAUAAAUAAAUAAAAUCUUAAAAAAAAAAAACAAAAACAAUGACAACAACAAUGAAAAGAUCUAGUGGAAAAGGUGAACAGCAUGCAUAAACAGAUGCGAAGUUUAGGGAGGGAACAAGAAACCACAAAAGAACAAAGUCUAACUGGAAAUUCCAGAAUUGCGCUAAAAAGAAAAAUAUGGUAUCUGAGAGGAAAUGUUCUUUUGAUGAAGUUAUUGGCAGACUGGACCCAGGAGAGGAACGUUAACUCGGUGAUGGGGCAAGAGAAAUUCCGCAAACCGGAAAGCGAAAAUGAGAGUAAAAAUUCAUCGUGCAGGCUUCCUAGAUUUGUUAAGACAGUUGAAGCCCGGUGCCAGACACAUGCUGGUCAGAACUAUCAGUCCUUCUCGUACCUGACAAAAACGCAUUUCACUGCUAAGGUGCACCAGGUGGUGUUCUUAGUGAGGGAUUGCCUGGUGAGCCAAAGGACAAAGGUUCCUGCCCUGUGGAGCACACACCUGAGACGUGAGACCACUGUGGUCCGGGAUCGGGCAUCCCCCUGAAGCUACCCUCAAGGUCAAGCAGCACUCCAGGACUGGAGCUCGGUGAUCUCUACCUCCCCUGGCCCUCAGAGGCUCUCUAGGCCACACUGAGCUUCCCGUAAUGUCCUUUGCACCCAAUUCCAAUGAGCAUUUGUGUCUACCCUGUUCGACAUUGGGUGUCCCUCAGGAGGAAACUCACAGACCAUUUGAGGAGAAAUUUGGGGAACUGAAACCUCUAACCUCUCUGGGCUCUUCCCCCAUUCUGUCUACAUUGACCGUCUUGUCUCAUCACAAGUUAAAAGCCAAGGUUUACGGGGUACGAGUUACAAAUGCUUGACAGCAUUUCUCAGUAAUGUCCCAUGUCCACAGAUAAAAGAAUUCUAGGGACAUAGGUUCUGGAAAUUCUAUGUGAGACCUUCUCCUUGUGAAGCUUUGCACUUCACAUAAAAGAAUCUAACUCAGGCAAAAAAGAAAAAGUGUAUUAAACUUCAUCUGAUCUGGUUCUUCAGACUUCUUUAACAGCAUACCCCCUUUUUUUUCAAAGUUCCUGUUUGCAUAUCUUUCAGUUACCAUCCUGUGUGUUACAUCAGAAUCCUCAGUCGAGCUAGUCUAAACAACUAAAAUAGUACGCUGGCUUUUGUGACUGAUACGUCUUGAAGUCACAAGGGCCUCAGUUAUAGUUACAUCAAGGCUUAGCUCUGUUGCCAGGGAUCACUAUUCCCUCCUCUGGGCCUUUGUCAGCUUCCUUGUCUGACUUUCCUCAUAGCAACAAAAUGGCAGCCAUAGUUCUGGGCAUCCCAUCCGCAUACCUGCUUCACAGAGGAGGAGAAGCCUUCUCUCCUCCCCAUGCUGGACUGUAUAUUCUGGGCCUGCUUAGUCCAAGUGCUCAUCCCUGAGCCAAUCCCCAGGCAAGAGGAAUGGGUCUUGAAAGCCCACCCCAAGAAUGAAGUCAUCGUGUUUUCUACAAAGCCUGUGGCAAUGUCCUCUCUCUAGAAACACUCAUCCCACCUGCCCCUACCCCCUUUCUUCCUGCUAAGAUCCCAAGGAUGGUUAGGCCUCUUCCUGAAUCCUGGAUGUAUAUCAUGAUUUGUAGAGCCAUGUAAUUCUCUUCGCUAGCAGUUGGUUCAGAAAUAGCUGUGAGACUUGGUUCUAGCUGAUUAGAUACAAGCAAAACUCUGCUGGGUGGGGCUUCUAGGAAAACCUUUGCCUUUCUGACGAGAAGAACAGACCUGACUGGCCGGCCCCUUUGCCUCAUUACCAUUCCUUCUUCAUCAAACCCAGAAGGAGGAUUGAUACCUCAGAGGCAUGGCAGCCAUCUUGGGACCAUGAGGCAGCAACUGUGAAGACUAACGCCACCAUGCCAGAGAUGCUGGAACAGAUGGACCGGUCCCAAGGCCUACAUAGCAUCACCAGGCAGCUGCACACACGCUGGUCUAUUUUCAGUACAAAAUUAGAAAUUCAUAUUUGUUUAAGCCAAAGGCAUUUCUCACUGACACAAGGCCGAGUCUUUUUUUUUUUGCAAACUACGACUUGUGUAGGCACAGAGAUACAGCCUGGAAGGCACAGUUCAAGUUUCGGUGAAUCCCUAAGACUUCUUAAAUACAUUCCGCCCCCUGGAUGUUUGUGAGAAAGCAGAUUAUCCAGCCUUUAUCCACUCCAGCAGAGGGCCGAGUACUCCCUGUCUGUGUGGGACGUCAGGAGUCACAUGUCGGAUGGCAGGCCGCAGAAUACAGCCACUGGCUUUUCUGCGUCCCAGGGUUGUUCUGGGGCUGGUUUCAGGGGCCAGUAGCAGUGGCAACGUGAAAGCCCAUUCUUUACCCCAGAUACCAGUUGGGGUUCAGAAAAGUCUCCCUAGAGCCUUCAACUUAUUCCCCCUUCCAUCCCAGUCACGCUGGGAUCUCUCCUGAGAAAAAACGCAAAAAUGAGAAAAGGGAAAACCUAAAAACAUAAGCUUUAUCAUCACAGCCAGAUAGACCGUAGCCAAAAAAAAAAAAAAAAAAAGAACAGAUCCAAAUGUUCUAUCACAAGAGAAGGAUUAAGAAAGUGUUUGAUGGAAUAUUACGCGGAUGUGAAAAUGAUGUUUACAAAUCUGGUAAUACUAAAGGGAAAUAGGCACAAUAUUUGUUACUAAGAAAGCCGACCACAACCUCUUAUAUAUAUGGCUUGAUCUCAAGUAUACAAAAAUUUUACCAGGGACGAAAGAAAUACACUGAGAUGUUAACAGCGGCGGUGCCUGGUUGGAAUCGUUACGGGUACUUUCGGGGGUUAUUUUUCCUGCUGUUCUAUAUUUUCCCAUUUGCCUGUAUGUGCUACUUUUGUAAGCAGAAAGAACAAAACUGGCUUCUCUUUUUAAAGCUUCCAGGACCCUCCACUGCGUGAGAUCGCUGCUGUCAUCUCCCCUCCUGUAAAGCUGAUAAUGCAGGGCUUCCUAGACCAGGUGACCCUUCCUGCACUGGGGCCAAAAUAAAAACAAGCUUCCCAACCUGGCAUACUUGAUUAAUAGCUUGGAAUUCUUUCAACAGGCAAAGGGAGUGGUAGGGAAAGGGGAAAAUCAACACCCUAUUUUUAAAUGCUGACGUAAGCUUACAGGAACUAAAGACAAGAGGAGGUACGCACCAUUCCAGGCCUUAUGCAAAUGUAUGCAAAUGAGACGCGGUCCCUGGCUUAGUGAGAAUUCUGGGCCUGAGCUCCCACCUGGAUUCCUGGGUCUCGCUGAGCUGGGAGAGGAAGAGAGGAGGGAGGGGACGGAAUAGCG